GACGAACGCUGGCGGCGUGCUUAACACAUGCAAGUCGAACGGAAAGGCCCUGCUUUUGUGGGGUGCUCGAGUGGCGAACGGGUGAGUAACACGUGAGUAACCUGCCCUUGACUUUGGGAUAACUUCAGGAAACUGGGGCUAAUACCGGAUAGGAGCUCCUGCUGCAUGGGGGGGGUUGGAAAGUUUCGGCGGUUGGGGAUGGACUCGCGGCUUAUCAGCUUGUUGGUGGGGUAGUGGCUUACCAAGGCUUUGACGGGUAGCCGGCCUGAGAGGGUGACCGGCCACAUUGGGACUGAGAUACGGCCCAGACUCCUACGGGAGGCAGCAGUGGGGAAUCUUGCACAAUGGGCGGAAGCCUGAUGCAGCAACGCCGCGUGCGGGAUGACGGCCUUCGGGUUGUAAACCGCUUUCGCCUGUGACGAAGCGUGAGUGACGGUAAUGGGUAAAGAAGCACCGGCUAACUACGUG
rnacentral:rRNA from 1 species